UCUCCUUCCUCGUCCUUUUGUGUACAGUGUCCGUCGCUUGCCCUUACAGCUCGCUUUGUCUUUCCUCUGAAUUACUAGGCAUAGCCUCCUUUCAUCUUCAGAGUCUCAGAGAGCUAAGAAUGACAUCAACAAGGGGGGGGGGCAGCAGUGAGAGGGACCAGCAGGCAGUGACCAGGUCUCAUGAAAGGCGAAGAACACUGACAUUUUGAUGGAGCAGAAACUGGACUUUUGUGAGGCCCUGAGAAACAGGAGCUGGCAGCUGGUGCGCCCAGGGCUAGCCACCAUGUUGCUGGCUUUUUCUUCACAUCGUUGUGAAUCACGUGGCCACAGACUAAGCCUCUUCAAGAACCCUGAGGAGACAUUGUCACUGUGUCCAUAGAGACUUGGAGCUCAGGUCUGUCUCUGACAUACUGUCCUGGUCCAGGAGUGUCUCCUAGGAGGUGUGGGUCCCACCGAGCCUCAGGAGAGGAUGUAACUCCAGAGCUGGUCACAAGCAGUUGCUGGCAUCUCUGAGUCUCAGCUUCCUAAGGGGAGGUGUUCCCUGUGGUGAUGAAUCCCAGCCUCUCUAGACAGAAGGCUGGGACAGAAGGACCUCACAUCUGCUGAGCUGGUGACGAGGACACCAGACACUGGGAGUUCUGAGAUGUGCAGAGAGGAAUCUGCCCAGCUAAUUGACAACAGGGAAAAGCCAGUCUCUUGUCCCACAGCCCAGGAGACUUCGAAAGACAGAAGAAGCAGUCAGGAUGGCACAUUCUGGACAUGCCAGCUUGGUGAGGGAACGGUGGAAGAAGAGGACAACCAACAGUCCCAGACAAGGAGCUGAGGGGUUUGAAGAGACGCUUAACGAGAGUAACCCACUUCCUCCACCUCCACAAGUUCCUACAACCUUCCGACAGCCCCACCAGCUAGCGGUCAAGUGUUCAAGUGCCCGUAGGAGACACUUCACUUCAAAACAUUGCCCAUGUGCGGAUCUCCUGAAACUGAGAAGCUUCUGUAAAGCAAAAGACACGGUCAACAAGACAAAAUGGUAGCCUACAGA